CCCUCCCCUCCUGUGACAGCAAGAGCAUGCCCAGGACAUGUGUCACAGGACAGCAUUGGAUAAAAGGCUGCUGUGCCCAGAUCCCUCAUCACAGCCUCCAGGACCAGCCUCUCUUGUCUCCUCCACAACUGACUCAUCACCUCAUCCGCCCAGAUGUCCUGCCAGCAGAGCCAGCAGCAGAGCCAGCUCCCUCCCAAGUGCCCCUCCCCCAAGUGCCCCCCCAAGAGUCCUGCUCACUGCUCCCCCCAGGCCUCCUCAGGCUGUGCCUCCAGCUCUGGGGGCUGCCAUGGCCCCAGCUCCCAGCCUGGUUGCUGCCUGAGCUCUCACAGGCGCCACAGGGCCCAUGGGUGCCGGCGCCAGAGCUCGGGGUCCUGUGACGAGGGCAGUGCUGGGCAGUGUGGGGGUUCUGGGGGCUGCUGACCUGAACCCUGGUGCUGAGAUGAGUGGCUUCAGAGAAGAUGGGGACCCAAGGACCAAGAGGGCCCCAGCCUGUAUCAUCCUACCCCAGGCCCCACCUCCCCCUCCCAAGGAGAAGCCUGAUCUCCAGGGAGCCUCUCCUGUGUGAUACCUGGACCACACAGCUCUUUUCUGUCCUGACCAGUGACAGCAAUGCCAUGGGGACCCAGAGAAAAAUAAAGCCUUGCUCUCUCAUCA